GGCCAGACUCCUACGGGAGGCAGCAGUGAGGAAUAUUGGUCAAUGGUCGGGAGACUGAACCAGCCAAGCCGCGUGAGGGAUGAAGGUACAGAGUAUCGUAAACCUCUUUUGUCAGGGAACAAAGGCGGGGACGCGUCCCCGGAUGAGUGUACCUGAAGAAAAAGCAUCGGCUAACUCCGUGCCAGCAGCCGCGGUAAUACGGAGGAUGCGAGCGUUAUCCGGAUUUAUUGGGUUUAAAGGGUGCGUAGGCGGACGCUUAAGUCAGCGGUAAAAUUGCGGGGCUCAACCCCGUACUGCCGUUGAAACUGCAUCCCUUGAGUGCGCGAGAAGUAUGCGGAAUGCGUGGUGUAGCGGUGAAAUGCAUAGAUAUCACGCAGAACUCCGAUUGCGAAGGCAGCAUACCGGCGCGCAACUGACGCUCAUGCACGAAAGCGUGGGUAUCGAACAGGAUUAGAUACCCGUGUAGA
rnacentral:rRNA from 1 species